rnacentral:rRNA from 1 species
UACGUAGGGUGCGAGCGUUAAUCUGAAUUACUGGGCGUAAAGCGUGCGCAGGCGGUCUGUUAAGACCGAUGUGAAAUCCCCGGGCUUAACCUGGGAACUGCAUUGGUGACUGGCAGGCUUUGAGUAUGGCAGAGGGGGGUAGAAUUCCACGUGUAGCAGUGAAAUGCGUAGAGAUGUGGAGGAAUACCGAUGGCGAAGGCAGCCCCCUGGGCCAAUACUGACGCUCAUGCACGAAAGCGUGGGGAGCAAACAGG